rnacentral:rRNA from 1 species
UGGGGGAUAUUGCACAAUGGGCGAAAGCCUGAUGCAGCGACGCCGCGUGGGGGAUGAAGGCUUUCGGGUUGUAAACCUCUUUCGCUAUCGAACAAGGCCCGCUUAGGGUGGGUUGAGGGUAGGUGGAGAAGAAGCGCCGGCUAACUACGUGCCAGCAGCCGCGGUAAUAGGUAGGGCGCGAGCGUUGUCCGGAAUUAUUGGGCGUAAAGGGCUUGUAGGCGGCUUGUUGCGCCUGCUGUGAAAACGCGGGGCUUAACUUCGCGCGUGCAGUGGGUACGGGCAGGCUUGAGUGUGGUAGGGGUGACUGGAAUUCCAGGUGUAGCGGUGGAAUGCGCAGAUAUCUGGAGGAACACCGAUGGCGAAGGCAGGUCACUGGGCCAUUACUGACGCUGAGGAGCGAAAGCAUGGGUAGCGAACAGG